rnacentral:rRNA from 1 species
AUUGAACGCUGGCGGAAUGCUUUACACAUGCAAGUCGAACGGUAGAGGGGGCAACCCCUCGAGAGUGGCGAACGGGUGAGUAACAUAUCGGAACGUGCCCAGUCGUGGGGGAUAACGUAGCGAAAGUUACGCUAAUACCGCAUACGAUCUAUGGAUGAAAGCGGGGGAUCGCAAGACCUCGCGCGAUUGGAGCGGCCGAUAUCAGAUUAGGUAGUUGGUGGGGUAAAGGCCCACCAAGCCAACGAUCUGUAGCUGGUCUGAGAGGACGACCAGCCACACUGGAACUGAGACACGGUCCAGACUCCUACGGGAGGCAGCAGUGGGGAAUUUUGGACAAUGGGCGAAAGCCUGAUCCAGCCAUUCCGCGUGCAGGAUGAAGGCCCUCGGGUUGUAAACUGCUUUUGUACAGAACGAAAAGGCUUCUACUAAUACUAGGAGCUCAUGACGGUACUGUAAGAAUAAGCACCGGCUAACUACGUGCCAGCAGCCGCGGUAA